CCUACGGGUGACUGCAGUGAGGAAUAUUGGUCAAUGGGCGCGAGCCUGAACCAGCCAAGUCGCGUGAAGGAUGACUGCCCUACGGGUUGUAAACUUCUUUUAUAAAGGAAUAAGGUGAGGCACGUGAGCCUUUUUGUAUGUACUUUAUGAAUAAGGAUCGGCUAACUCCGUGCCAGCAGCCGCGGUAAUACGGAGGAUCCGAGCGUUAACCGGAUUUAUUGGGGUUAAAGGGAGCGUAGAGGGGGAGUUAAGUCAGUUGUUAAAGUUUGCGGCUCAACCGUAAAAUUGCAAUUGAUACUGGCAGCCUUGAGUACAGUUGAGGUAGGCGGAAUGCGUGGUGUAGCGGUGAAAUGCUUAGAUAUCACGAAGAACUCCGAUUGCGAAGGCAGCCUACUAAACUGCCACUGACAUUGAUGCUCGAAAGUGUGGGUAUCAAACAGGAUUAGAUACCCGAGUAGUC
rnacentral:rRNA from 1 species